rnacentral:rRNA from 1 species
UUGCCGGAUGGUUCCGCUACUGCCCAUCGACUGCACUCUCGCACUAGUCGGUGUAACCCUGACUCUGUGCCGGGUCUGAGGAUGCCCUCCGUCGUCACCCCUUAUAACGCGUUACCUGCUUUCAGACUGCGUCGCUGCGGCGCACCCCCUCCUUCCGGAAUCCCAGCAUUUGGGGACAGUCUACCCUGCUUGGCAUCUAGCCGAUUAUAGACCAGACGGACUGCCAUGGUAGUCUCCUUCGAGGCCGAUUGAGGCACGGUCGUCGGCGCCAUUAUGCCUCCCUCGUUCGCAACAAGCCUUAAUGACCCGCAUUUCCCGCGCAUCCGCCGGAUCAUUCAGCUCACACUUUACGGCCCCGAGUUGAGGCACGUGACGUAAGCUAUGACGGACCGAUCUCUUUCCAUCUCCGCUCGCCUUAAGGGCCACAUCGCCACCUUACGCAUCUAUAGCCCUUCUUGUGGACACCGCUUCCGCCGAGCGACCCGGAAAAGACUGCGACUUCGCGCUUUCGCACCCCUCGUUUGUCCUAAUCUAUGGGACCAUCAGGUGCGGCAUUUGCGACCCAUGAUCCACAGCCCUCCGAACCGGGAGAGCCACAGCUGGGAUUGCCUAAUUCAUGGGGCGGACCCCUC